rnacentral:rRNA from 1 species
AAUCAACGCUGGCGGCGUGCCUCAGACAUGCAAGUCGAACGCGAAAGUCCCCUUCGGGGGACGAAGUAGAGUGGCGCACGGGUGAGUAACACGUAGGUAAUCCACCUUCGGAUGGGGAAGUAACAACCGGAAACGGUUAGCUAAUACCGCAUAAUGCAGCGGCACCUAAUGGUGACAGUUGUUAAAGACGGGGGAGUCGAAAGACCUCGCGUCUGAAGAGGAGCCUGCGGCGGAUUAGCAGUUGGUAAGGUAACGGCUUACCAAGGCGACGAUCCGUAGCCGGCCUGAGAGGGCGGUCGGCCACACUGACACUGACAUACGGGUCAGACUCCUACGGGAGGCAGCAGUCGGGAA